UAUUUUGAACAGUGGCAGUAUCAUAGCCGAUGAGGUUUAUCCCAGGCAUGAUUAUUGCUAAUUGAAAUAAUAGUUUUUUAGAACUUACUAAUAUCUGGGGGACUCUUUUGGACAUUAAGGAUUUUAUUGAUACUUUUCACUUUCUGGAGUGGCAAAUAUUACAGAAAG
ensembl:snRNA U4 U4 spliceosomal RNA